GAAAAGGUAAGAGGGAAAACAUAGCUCCAGGUUCAAUGUUCUUUAGUGACUUGUUGUUCUCAGACUGGUUCAGUUGUUUGGUUUGUUGCUUUACUGGUUGUAAACAGUGGCUGAAGCCAUGGGGUCUCUAUUGAGAUGGUUGCUGUUUUCCUUGCUAGCUGUGGGAUGCCAAGCAAUUUCUUUCAGGACUGGAUCUGCUCAGAAGUAUGGAGAAGGUGAUGGUGUCACUACAGGUUAUCAACCAGAUUCAAACAGCUUUACCACUGGGGAUGAUUCUUCAUGGAGCAUAGGGGCACUUGGUGGUCAUGAUUCAACCUCAAAUACAAACUUGGCAAGUACUUGCAACAUACAUUUUCCAGGAUGCCAUA